rnacentral:rRNA from 1 species
CCCGUCACACCAUGAGAGUUGGGAAUACCCGAAGCCUGUGAGCUAACUUUUAGAGGCAGCAGUCGAAGGUAGAAUCAAUGAUUGGGUGAAGUCGUAACAAGGUAAC